UGGGGAAUAUUGCACAAUGGGCGCAAGCCUGAUGCAGCCAUGCCGCGUGUGUGAAGAAGGCCUUCGGGUUGUAAAGCACUUUCAGCGGGGAGGAAGGCGAUAAGGUUAAUAACCUCAUCGAUUGACGUUACCCGCAGAAGAAGCACCGGCUAACUCCGUUCCAUCAGCCGCGGUAAUACGGAGGGUGCAAGCGUUAAUCGGAAUUACUUGGCGUAAAGCGCACGCAGGCAGUCUGUCAAGUCGGAUGUGAAAUCCCCGGGCUCAACCUGGGAAAUGCAUUCGAAACUGGCAGGCUAGAGUCUUGUAGAGGGGGGUAGAAUUCCAGGUGUAGCGGUGACAUGCGUAGAGAUCUGGAGGAAUACCGGUGGCGAAGGCGGCCCCCUGGACAAAGACUGACGCUCAGGUGCGAAAGCGUGGGGAGCAAACAGG
rnacentral:rRNA from 1 species